UACGGAGGAUGCGAGCGUUAUCCGGAUUUAUUGGGUUUAAAGGUUGCGUAGGCGGCUUUUUAAGUCAGCGGUGAAAUUUUGCAGCUUAACUGUAACAGUGUCGUUGAUACUGGGGAGCUAGGAUUUGGUUGCUGUGGGUGGAAUGUGUGGUGUAGCGGUGAAAUGCUUAGAUAUCACACAGAAUAUCGAUUGCGAAGGCAGCUCACAAAGCCAAGAUUGACGCUGAGGCACGAAAGUGUGGGGAUCAAACAGGAUUAGA
rnacentral:rRNA from 1 species